GAUAAAAGGGAGCAGAAAGAAAGUUAAAAUAGUGAGAGCUGUAGAAGUCUCAGUUAUAAGUUCCCAAACAACCUUAUGGAUCAUGCAGGUUGGUGCUCUGCGCUCCAGCUGGCACCCAUCUCUAACAUGAUAAGAGCCAUAGGGGAAGGAGAUUGCAUCUUGAUCAUCGGACCAAGUCUUUCAUCAUUCUCCAGCAUACCUACCUUACAACUAAGAUCCAGUGGUACAUGGGCAGACCUUGACUAAACAUAAAAAUCAUUAAGAGUUAACCUGGUGUGAAUUGAAGGUCAUGAACAUCGCGUGUGGUAAUGAUCACUUGUGCUUUUAUUUGGAAGUUGCUGCUUAUCUUGUUGAUUGGAUCUGUGGUGGAUUUUUUCUUGAAUUGUGAAGUAACAUGAAUAUGUUGUUCAAUGACAUAUUUUCUGAAGACUUGCAGUAGGAGCAGUAUUAUUUGCAUCGCGUGUGGGGUUCUGCUCUAGAACUGGAGUGCUCCGAAGUGCUGCCCAAGUGCAAAUAAAUGAAUUCCAUCUUUAGCUGGCA